rnacentral:rRNA from 1 species
UACGUAGGGUGCAAGCGUUAAUCGGAAUUACUGGGCGUAAAGCGUGCGCAGGCGGUCUUGUAAGUCUGUCGUGAAAGCCCCGGGCUCAACCUGGGAAUUGCGAUGGAGACUGCAAGGCUUGAAUCUGGCAGAGGGGGGUAGAAUUCCACGUGUAGCAGUGAAAUGCGUAGAGAUGUGGAGGAACACCGAUGGCGAAGGCAGCCCCCUGGGUCAAGAUUGACGCUCAUGCACGAAAGCGUGGGGAGCAAACGGG